GAUGAACGCUGGCGGCGUGCCUAAUACAUGCAAGUCGAGCGAACGGACGAGAAGCUUGCUUCUCUGAUGUUAGCGGCGGACGGGUAAGUAACACGUGGAUAACCUACCUAUAAGACUGGGAUAACUUCGGGAAACCGGAGCUAAUACCGGAUAAUAUUUUGAACCGCAUGGUUCAAAAGUGAAAGACGGUCUUGCUGUCACUUAUAGAUGGAUCCGCGCUGCAUUAGCUAGUUGGUAAGGUAACGGCUUACCAAGGCAACGAUGCAUAGCCGACCGGAGAGGGUGAUCGGCCACACUGGAACUGAGACACGGUCCAGACUCCUACGGGAGGCAGCAGUAGGGAAUCUUCCGCAAUGGGCGAAAGCCUGACGGAGCAACGCCGCGUGAGUGAUGAAGGUCUUCGGAUCGUAAAACUCUGUUAUUAGGGAAGAACAUAUGUGUAAGUAACUGUGCACAUCUUGACGGUACCUAAUCAGAAAGCCACGGCUAACUACGUG
rnacentral:rRNA from 1 species